AUGCCAUCAGGGCGUCAACUCUCCAUAUUUUGCUAUAUAUAUAAUUUUCCUAAAGUUUCUACUCUACUACAGUUUUCUAAUAAGGAACUAAUUGGUGUUUUCUGUAUAAGUAGCGCUUUUUAUACAUCUAUGACAUCUACCCUUUCUGUUGGUACAGAUUAUCAUCCUUCACCUAUGAUGUUACACAUUAUACUCUUUGAGCAUUACACGUUGCUUCAUUUGGUUGCAUUGGUCCAGUUUUCAUGUCCCGACAUUAGAGCCAGGAAGCUUCAUGGUAUGGGACGGACAACUUCACUGUACCCUUUAUUCCAAGUUAUCUUGCCGAUUGAUGCUAAGCAACUAUGA
rnacentral:rRNA from 1 species